AUCUUGUAUCGGCGACUGUGAGGGCGGCUCCUCACACAAUGGACCUAAAUUGGUAAAACUGAUGGACUGGUCAUUAUUAUUCCCCCCUUUCAGGUAACCCAGUUGAUCCAUGGCUGCUGGACAGCUACAAAUUGCAGCUGAAUGAGGGCACUAAAAUCAGGGGGUCCCACUGAGAAAUGCUCUCUUGAGUGGAGCUCCACAGAAAACAGAAGAAAAGUAACAGUAUCCUGCAUGGUGAAUAAUCUCUGCAACUGUGAUUACUGGAUUCAGCAAGUGACAAGAUUCCUUUUCUCUUGAAAUUACAGCUAGAAAAGAUAAGAAUUUUUGUUUGGUCUUAAUAUACAAGAUAUUUUUAGUCACUUCAUUUUUGUUUCUGCCUGGUUUGAAAGGUGCUUUCCUGGGGGAAGGACAAUAGGACACUCAAUCAUCAUGCAAUCAGACAUACCUCCCAGAGACUGCCAAACAGCUUCCAGACUAACCUCUGUGCAGUGCUUAGCCUUACAACUCUACGGAGCGAUGGCUUCAUUGUUCAUUCUUCAUGGCAACAAGCCAAAUCUGAGGUGACUGCCCUGCUUCUACUGUGGCAAAUGCUUGCACCACCACGGCGGCAGUGCAGACCUGGGCAUUCCGCAACUGACACAUACACCAUACACACAACACACAUGGCAAAACAAGGGCCACAGCGGGGGCACCUAUUCCAGCCCAUUCUUUCCGGAUGCUAAGUCAGGAUCCACUUGGGUAGAAUUCACAGUGACAAUCACCGAGCGAAGCUCAUUCAUCUUGCCAUCAAAAUUUGCAGUCCAAUUUUAACACCGACAGUAUCCCCCAUCUGGGUUCCGCACCCAUCAGGGGCAGACACAUGCUCAUCACCAGCAAGAUCAGCUUCUUCAUUUUGACAGCAUCGCACUAGCCGCUCCGGAACCCACACUGGCUCUGCGCUAUUCUGUGGAAACAUGCAAACAGAUCCUCUCACCCAGGCCAACACGGGAUCCGGACCAUUCCAUGGUCCUGUAAGCACAUCCUUCCAUUUAGCAUACCCCAGUUUACUGGGGCUGGUAUUAGCAUGUCGUUCAGCAGCAGAGCGACCUUCCUUAUCCAAUUGCAAAAAGUUUAAGGUAAAAA